UCCAUUGGUGUCUGAUUAGUGAUCCUCC
rnacentral:sRNA from 1 species